rnacentral:rRNA from 1 species
GCUGGAAUUGCUAGUAAUGGCAGGUCAGCAUACUGCCGUGAAUACGUUCCCGGGCCUUGUACACACCGCCCGUCACACCAUGAGAGUUGGAAAUGCCCGAAGUCUGUGACCCAACCUGAGAGGGAGGGAGCAGCCGAAGGCAGGUCUGAUGACUGGGGUGAAGUCGUAACAAGGUAGC